rnacentral:rRNA from 1 species
UACGUAGGGUGCGAGCGUUGUCCGGAAUUAUUGGGCGUAAAGAGCUCGUAGGCGGUGUGUCGCGUCGGCCGUGAAAACCUGCAGCUUAACUGUGGGCGUGCGGUCGAUACGGGCAUCACUGGAGUUCGGCAGGGGAGACUGGAAUUCCUGGUGUAGCGGUGAAAUGCGCAGAUAUCAGGAGGAACACCGGUGGCGAAGGCGGUUCUCUGGGACGGUACUGACGCUGAGACGCGAAAGCGUGGGGAGCGAACAGG